rnacentral:rRNA from 1 species
CCUACGGGGGGCAGCAGUGAGGGAUAUUGGUCAAUGGGGGAAACCCUGAACCAGCAACGCCGCGUGAGGGAAGACGGUUUUCGGAUUGUAAACCUCUGUCCUCUGUGAAGAUAAUGACGGUAGCAGAGGAGGAAGCUCCGGCUAACUACGUGCCAGCAGCCGCGGUAAUACGUAGGGAGCGAGCGUUGUCCGGAUUUACUGGGUGUAAAGGGUGCGUAGGCGGCCCUGCAAGUCAGAAGUGAAAUCCAUGGGCUUAACCCGUGAACUGCUUUUGAAACUGCAGGACUUGAGUGGAGUAGAGGUAG